UACGUAGGGACCAAGCGUUGUCCGGAAUCAUUGGGCGUAAAGAGCUCGUAGGCGGCUUGUCGCGUCGUCCGUGAAAACCUGGGGCUCAACUCCAGGCUUGCGGUCGAUACGGGCAGGCUAGAGUUCGGUAGGGGAGACGUGGAAGUUCCGGUGUGAGCGGUGGAAAUGACGCAGAUAUCGGGAGGAACACCAAUGGCGAAGGCAGCUCGCUGGGACGUGACUGACGCUGAGACGCGAAAGCGUGGGGAGCAACAGGG
rnacentral:rRNA from 1 species